rnacentral:rRNA from 1 species
CUCGUAGGCGGCCAACUAAGUCAGACGUGAAAUCCCUCGGCUUAACCGGGGAACUGCAUCUGAUACUGGAUGGCUUGAGGUUGGGAGAGGGAUGCGGAAUUCCAGGUGUAGCGGUGAAAUGCGUAGAUAUCUGGAGGAACACCGGUGGCGAAGGCGGCAUCCUGGACCAAUUCUGACGCUGAGUGAGCGAAAGCCAGGGGAGCAAACGGGAUUAGAUACCCCGGUAGUCCUGGCCCUAAACGAUGAAUGCUUGGUGUGGCGGGUAUCGAUCCCCUGCCGUGCCGAAGCUAACGCAUUAAGCAUUCCGCCUGGGGAGUACGGUCGCAAGGCUGAA